rnacentral:rRNA from 2 species
CCUACGGGAGGCAGCAGUGGGGAAUAUUGCGCAAUGGGCGGAAGCCUGACGCAGCGACGCCGCGUGGGGGAUGAAGGCCUUCGGGUUGUAAACCUCUUUCGGCAGGGACGAAGGUGACGUGUACCUGCGGAAGAAGCGCCGGCUAACUACGUGCCAGCAGCCGCGGUAAU